GUCUUGUGUUUCUGCAAUAGGAUUGAUUGUGAGAUUAGGAAUGUAGACCCUGAUAAAUUUAGUUAUAUAGUGUUGAUUAAGGACAUGAAAAAAUGUGUGGCCGAGGAGAAUGAGGAAGUAUACCUUUAUCCUAAUGAGAAGUUUUGGGUAGAAGCUAGGUUACCUUUGUCUAGGGAGAAAUAUUUAUUACACAAUGAUCAGGAUAUAGCCUUUAUUUUCCAGCAAUAUGGGUUGAAAGGGUUAAUAGACAUUAAGUUGUUUGUUAAAGCAGUACCUGUAAAAAGUAUUGAACCCUUACUAGCUUUACUGAGACUGUUAUUCCAAAUACCAGGACAUGUCAGAAAGGAUACAAGGUGACCCUACUAGAAAUAUUUGGCCUUGCUGUUCCAGUAUUUGUAAUGAUGAUGUCAAAGGUGGCCUUUUACACUCUCAUUACAUAUUUUGCUGCAUCGAUGGGAACACUCACCUUGGCUACUCAUCAAGUCAUGGUUCAAACAUUCCUCAUGUGUUCAGUGUGGGGUGGGCCUCUGUCUCAAACUGCACAAUCAUUUAUGCCUGAGUUUUUAUAUGGAUUAAAAUGGAGCUUGGCAAAGUACCUGUAGAAAAUAUUGAGUCCUUACUAGCUUUGCUGAGACUGCUAUUCCGAAUACUAGGACAUGUCAGAGAGGAUACAAUGUGACCCUCCUGGAAAUAUUUGGCCUUGCUGCUCCAGUAGUUGUAAGGAUGAUGUCAAAGGUGGCCUUUUACACUCAUUACAUAUUUUGCUACGUUGAUGGGAACACUCACCUUGGCUGCUCAAGUCUCACUGUGCAACACAAUUUUGUCAAUCUGAAAGUUGAAGAUCUGCAAAAGAAUGAGUGGUGUUCUUCCAAGUUCAUUUCUUUCAAUCAAAACCUCAACCCCACUUCAUUUCUGGUGCUUCUUUGAAUCCAGCACAUAAUGUCUUUUGAACAUUAGCCCAAGUAAUCUAUGUGGGAAAGUUCAAGUUUCUAAGCAUCAGAGGACUCUUACAGUUAGAGCAGUUGGGGAUGAUGGAAGACAAAUUAGUGCAAAUAUCUUCGUUGGUGGCUUUAUAUUGGGAGGAAUAGUUGUUGGGACAUUAGGCUGUAUAUAUGCUCCCCAGGUAUGAAAUGCAUGUUUAUGUUUUGGUACCACUGAAUUUGGUACCUUUUGUGUAAGGUUUAUGUUCUUGUUGAUAAAAAUGAGUUGAGUGGCAUCCCUCCUUUGCCUUCUCUAUCUGCUAUAUCUGAUUGGCUAUUUUGUCAUAUUUUAUCCAUCAAAUGGCAAAGAUUGUUUGUUCAGUUUUUGGUUUAAGAUACCAGGUGAAUGUUUAUAUUAACUGGUUGAAUAAAAGACUGAUGUAUGAUCCCUCAGCUAGACUUUGAUGGACUAUUUGCCUACAGUUCACUUGUGGCUUAUGGACUAUGGCUCGUCCACUGCUCUGAAAUUUUAUUGACUUGAGUUUGAGUGUGAGAUGCAUGUCGUUCUCUUUUAUAUAUUUAACUCACCUUGGCUGCUCAUCAAGUUAGUUGUAUUGAAAACAUUCCUAAUGUGUUCAGUGUGGGGUGAACCUCUGUCUCAAACCGCACAAUCAUUUAUGCCUGAGCUUUUAUAUGGAAUAAAACGGGGCUUCUCAAGAGUUAGUGCUGCUCAUUUCUAUUUGUCAUUACAGCCAUCCUCUUCUUUAAAAUUUAGUUCUAUUGAAAGCAUGAAUAAAUGAGAGUUUGGUGAUUCCAUGUGGAAUUCAUCACCUUCACCUUCCCUUAUAGACAAUACUUGAAAUAUAAGUUUUUUUUUGCAACAUUUGUUUCCUAGGUGAUUUGUUAUGUGUUCAAUCUUGAAUAUGAGUAAUGAUUUUGAACGGGUUCAGAUGCUGCUAAAGUCACCUGUAAUCAUUGGAGGUAUUCUUGGAUUGUUUUCAGCGGUCGUUGGAACAUCUCUACCUUUGUUGUUCCCCAAUUUCUUUACACCUGAUCAGACGAUCGUAAGAGAGAGUGUUGGUACCAUACUUUCUUUGCAUUAUUGGCGAGUGGCGACGCCCUGCAUUCUAAGCCUUAAACAAUGUGUUGUCGACUAAUUCAGCAUAAUCGUUGGAAGAUUUCUUUAAGUUAUUAAUUCCUUAUUGGGUAUAGGCUUAAGAAUAAGAAUCAUUGUAAUACUAGGUUUUAGUCAUUUAAACCUAAUAUAUAAAUAUACUUUUCUCUUGUAAUGAGUGAUAGCAAUCAUAAGGCAUAUUCAUUCAUUGUAAACGAGAGAUGUGAGACAGUAUUGCGAUAAUAUUAACUUAGUUGGAC